GAUGAACGCUGGCGGCGUGCCUAAUACAUGCAAGUCGAGCGAACAGAUGAGGAGCUUGCUCCUCUGACGUUAGCGGCGGACGGGUGAGUAACACGUGGAUAACCUACCUAUAAGACUGGGAUAACUUCGGGAAACCGGAGCUAAUACCGGAUAAUAUAUUGAACCGCAUGGUUCAAUAGUGAAAGACGGUUUUGCUGUCACUUAUAGAUGGAUCCGCGCCGCAUUAGCUAGUUGGUAAGGUAACGGCUUACCAAGGCAACGAUGCGUAGCCGACCUGAGAGGGUGAUGGGCCACACUGGAACUGAGACACGGUACAGACUCCUACGGGAGGCAGCAGUAGGGAAUCUUCGGCAAUGGGCGAAAGCCUGACGGAGCAACGCCGCGUGAGUGAUGAAGGUCUUCGGAUCGUAAAACUCUGUUAUUAGGGAAGAACAAAUGUGUAAGUAACUAUGCACGUCUUGACGGUACCUAAUCAGAAAGCCACGGCUAACUACGUG
rnacentral:rRNA from 1 species